GAUGAAGAACGUAGCAAAAUGCGAUAAGUAAUGUGAAUUGCAGAAUUCAGUGAAUCAUCGAAUCUUUGAACGCACAUUGCGCCCGCCAGUAUUCUGGCGGGCAUGCCUGUUCGAGCGUCAUUUCAACCCUCAAGCACAGCUUGGUGUUGGGACUCUCGUUAAUUCGCGUUCCUCAAAUUGAUUGGCGGUCACGUCGAGCUUCCAUAGCGUAGUAGUAAAACCCUCGUUACUGGUAAUCGUCGCGGCCACGCCGUUAAACCCCAACUUCUGAAUGUUGACCUCGGAUCAGGUAGGAAUACCCGCUGAACUUAAGCAUAUCAAUAAGCGGAGGA
rnacentral:misc_RNA from 1 species